rnacentral:misc_RNA from 1 species
AACAUCGCGCACCUGCGGGAACCUGCGGAGGGAUCAUUACAGAGUUGCGAAACUCCCUAAACCAUUGUGAACGUUACCUAAACCGUUGCUUCGGCGGGCGGCCCGGGUCCUUCCCGGCGCCCCUCGGCCCUCGCGGGCGCCCGCCGGAGGUAAACCAAACUAUUGCAUUGUAUGGCCUCUCUGAGUCUUCUGUACUGAAUAAGUCAAAACUUUCAACAACGGAUCUCAGAUCGGAAGAGC